AGAGAAUACUGGCCGUGCCAGUUCAGUGAUCUCUUGCUGCAGAUGCCAUUAGUCAUGUGACAAUUCUUUCAAACGUACCAAGUUGAUAGUCAAAUAGAAGAAGAGAAUACUGGCCGUGCCAGUUCAGUGAUCUCUUGCUGCUGCCAUCCAUCCUGUGACAGUUCUCUCAUACCGGGUUGAUAUUCAAAUAGAUGAAGAUAAUACUGGCCAUAUGAAGAUAAUACUGGCCAUACCAGUUUCAGUGAUGAUCAGAUAUGCCAUUCAUCCUGUGACAGUUCUCUCAGGCCACGUUGAUAGUCAAAUAGUUAAUAGUUGAAGGGAACACUGGCCGUGCCAGUUCAGUGAUCUCUGCUGCUGAUGCCAUUCUUUUUAUGAAAGUUCUCUCAAACCAUGUUGAUAGUCAAAAUAAAUGAAGAUAAGCUGUCAGCGGACACUUGGUUGUGUGGUUAGAGUACCCGCGCCGUGAUUCGUUGAGUCGCACGUUCAAGUCUCUCGCUGGAAGUUCAUUUUGAAUUUUCGCCAUU